CAAAACUGCAAAAAUUACCAAAACUGAAACAUCGUAUUUUCGGAUCAUUAACACCAAACUUCAACAGGUGUUUACCUUGGCCUUCACAGGUAUUGUUUAAAGUAGCAACAAACCGUCGACGAGAGUUUUUGUAAACAGCGCUCUCUGUUUUUGUCUUGGCGACCUUCGCUAUGUGUCGAAGCUUUCCUUCUGUCAGAAAAACAAACCAUAACAAAACAAACAAACCAAACAAUAUCAAAGCGUAACAUACCAAAACAAGAGAAAGAAAAGACUCGCUUACCCGACCUUCUUCUGGCUAACCUUGUUCCUUAGUUAUAAGGUAGAAUAAUUAUAAUUUCAACCGAUCUCAAUCCUCUUCUCUUUGAAGCUGUGCUCGUUUAUUAACCGAUCCCAUUCCAAAACGAUGUUUCUCGCGCGAAUCGAUCAAAGACUGCAUUAUACACCACAUAUGUGGAUUUACACAGGUUGAACGAUUCUAGGUCUUCUGUGACUCGUCUCGGAGUUUACACGACGAAGACGAAACUUCCAUAAAUACUACGUUCAUUGGAACAAGAGAAUUAAAUAGUUUGUGGAUCGUGCUGAAUGGACAAGAAAAAAUUCAUAAAAUAGCAACGAUUAGUGGGCGUUAUGACUGUACGCAACUGUAUAUGCAGUUUUAUUUAAUAUGCAAGAAUAAAUUGUAAUCGUAAUU